CUGGUGGUAAGCGGAUGGUCGUAACUAAAAGUUACGACCAUCUGAAUAUGGGAGACAACUCUAGGGAUAAGUUUUUCUUUUCCGAUUUUCGUGCAGUAAAAGGUUCAUUUGAGUCAAACCGCUUGUCUCAUAAACACAUAUCGUGAGUGUGUUGUUAUUGAAACCAAAUUUUCGUAAAAUAGUCAUUCAAAAAUUCGAGCAUGAUGGUCGUAACUUUAACUUGUGAUGGUCGUAAUGUCAAGUAUAGUAUUUUGGAUGAUGGUCGUAACCGACAAAAGAUGGUCGUAACUUUGAAAGAUGACCGUAACUCAAGUAUUUAGACGAUCUUUUAUCAAGCUAUUUAAAA
rnacentral:lncRNA from 1 species